AGUUGUGAAACACACUCAUCGCAUACGCCUAUUGGCUAACCAGGGUCAACCUGGGGGGGGGGGGCUUGUGGAUAAGGUUGCUCAGAGCAGCUUUUUUUGCAGAACAAAACCAAGACCCUCUCGUGCGUGAUCCGCAGGCAAAGCUCUGGAAGGACGCGAAGCUCCAACAUUCGCCUUGUGCGGAAAGGCCCCUGCGGAAGAGCAGCUCCAGCGAAGCCCUGGCCUGAACCCGGCUUGGCCCAGGCGUCACGUGUGCACAGGAGAGCGACGACCGAGUCAGGAGGCGGGAGCGGCUUCCCAAAGCCCGGGAAGGAGGCUCGAGCGAGGCCUGGCCCAGCGGCCCAGCACCAGGCCUCUCGCUGCGGCUUCCUCCUCAGGCAGCUUUGCCAAUGAAAAAUCCCCAGGGAAAACAGUCCUGUUCAGAAGAGAGUUCCAGUUGCGACAGCAAAGUUCUUCUACGGGAGUCUGGAAGAGAGUGUGCCCAAAUGGAAUCCAUCCAAAGUAGGAAAGUUGGCAGAUGGGUGAAAACAUUGGGAAGUUAGCACUUAGGAAACUUCAAGCCAGAAGGGAAUGAAGAACUCCCAGGCACCUUUGAGGACCUUUGGAGUGAGGAAUAAAUUCAAACCACUGCGUUUUAAGUGUUGUUUCUGCCAUGCUAUUGAUGGAUGAAGAGUGACAGACAGCAACUGCCGACUGGGGAGUGGGGCUUCCAAGUCACUGGAAUGAUAGUUUCAUGAAGACUGUUUUUAGUAAACAGAAGCCCCUGCCAAGGCUCCUCUGUCAA